GUGCCAGCCGCCGCGGUAAUACGGAGGGUGCAAGCGUUAAUCGGAAUUACUGGGCGUAAAGCGUACGCAGGCGGUUUGUUAAGCGAGAUGUGAAAGCCCAGGGCUCAACCUGGGAACUGCAUUUCGAACUGGCAAACUAGAGUCUUGUAGAGGGGGGUAGAAUUCCAGGUGUAGCGGUGAAAUGCGUAGAGAUCUGGAGGAAUACCGGUGGCGAAGGCGGCCCCCUGGACAAAGACUGACGCUCAGGUGCGAAAGCGUGGGGAGCAAACAGGAUUAGAUACCCCAGUAGUCC
rnacentral:rRNA from 1 species